rnacentral:rRNA from 1 species
AUGUCAUUUCCUCUGCAUGGAAAAACAGUAACAAUUCAAGGGGCAACACCUGUGGAAUUUGCUUAUACCAUCAUAGAAUUGUCUAUCAUUACUGAUGAAAAUGCUCAAACUGUUUUGCCAGAAAUUCAGGAGCUGCUGGAUGAGUUCAAGGAUGUAUUUGCCAUUCCUACUGGAUUACCACCAGAGAGGGCUUGUGAUCAUUCUAUACCUCUUAUUCCAAGUGCAAGACCAUUUUCUCACAGACCUUACUGAUUAGCUCCAGAACUAAAAGAUGAGGUGGAAAAGCAGAUAUAGGAGAUGUUGGAUUCUGGUGUAAUCAGAAGGAGUAACAGUCCAUUUUCUUCUCCCAUUCUCCUGGUUAAAAAGAAAGAUCACACCUGGAGGUUGGUGGUGGAUUACAGGCACCUCAAUGCUCUUACAAUCAAGGGAUACUACCCUAUGCCUGUGAUAGAUGAGCUACUGGAUGAACUGCAUGGGGCACAAUGGUUUACAAAGCUGGAUCUCCGGGCAGGAUACCAUCAAAUAAGGCUAGCCCCUGGAGAAGAAUAUAAGACAGCUUUUCAAACUCAUCAUGGGCAUUUUGAGUUUCUAGUUGUGGGAUUUGGUCUGACAGGAGCUCCAAACACUUUUCAAAGGGGCAUUAAUGUGUCCUUGUCUGAAGAACCUGACAUGCUUAGGAAUUUUGUCAUUGCAUUCUUUGAUGACAUCCUGGUUUUCAGUAAAACAUUGAAACAACAUUUAGAGCAUGUCAGAAGGGUUUUGCAAGUUUUGAGAAGAGACAAAUGGUAG